rnacentral:rRNA from 1 species
GAGUCGCGACUGAUCAGCCAUGCCGCGUGCAGGAGACUGCCUAUGGGUUGUAACUGCUUUUGUACGGGAAGAAUAACACCUACGUGUAGGCUUGAUGACGGUACCGUACGAAUAAGGAUCGGCUAACUCCGUGCCAGCAGCCGCGGUAAUACGGAGGAUGCAAGCGUUAUCCGGAAUCAUUGGGUUUAAAGGGUCCGUAGGCGGGCCGAUAAGUCAGGGGUGAAAGUCUGCAGCUCAACUGUAGAAUUGCCUUUGAUACUGUCGGUCUUGAAUGUGUAGGAAGUGGCUGGAAUGAGUAGUGUAGCGGUGAAAUGCAUAGAUAUUACUCAGAACACCGAUUGCGAAGGCAGGUCACUACUACUGCAUUGACGCUGAUGGACGAAAGCGUGGGGAGCGAACAGGAUUAGAUACCCUGGUAGUCCACGCCGUAAACGAUGGAUACUAGCUGUUGGGUUUUCGGACUCAGUGGCUAAGCGAAAGUGAUAAGUAUCCCACCUGGGAGAGUACGUUCGCAAGAAUGAAACUCAAAGGAAUUUGACGGA